GAUGAACGCUAGCUACAGGCUUAACACAUGCAAGUCGAGGGGCAGCAUGAUGGAAGCUUGCUUUGAUUGAUGGCGACCGGCGCACGGGUGAGUAACGGGUAUCCAACCUUCCCUGUAGUAGAGAAUAGCCCGGCGAAAGUCGGAUUAAUGCUCUAUGUUGUAUUUCGAAGACAUUUGAAGAAUACCAAAGGUUUACCGCUAUAGGAUGGGGAUGCGUCUGAUUAGGUUGUUGGCGGGGUAACGGCCCACCAAGCCCACGAUCAGUAGGGGUUGUGAGAGGAAGGUCCCCCACAUUGGAAUUGAGACACGGUCCAAACUCCUACGGGAGGCAGCAGUGAGGAAUAUUGGUCAAUGGACGGAAGUCUGAACCAGCCAAGUAGCGUGCAGGAUGACGGCCCUAUGGGUUGUAAACUGCUUUUAUAUAGGGAUAAAAGUCGGGGACGUGUCCCCGUUGUAG
rnacentral:rRNA from 1 species